rnacentral:rRNA from 1 species
AGCGAACGCUGGCGGCAGGCCUAACACAUGCAAGUCGAACGGAUCCUUCGGGAUUAGUGGCGGACGGGUGAGUAACACGUGGGAACGUGCCCUUUGGUUCGGAACAACUCAGGGAAACUUGAGCUAAUACCGGAUGUGCCCUUCGGGGGAAAGAUUUAUCGCCAUUGGAGCGGCCCGCGUCUGAUUAGCUAGUUGGUGAGGUAACGGCCCACCAAGGCGACGAUCAGUAGCUGGUCUGAGAGGAUGAUCAGCCACACUGGGACUGAGACACGGCCCAGACUCCUACGGGAGGCAGCAGUGGGGAAUCUUGCGGAAUGGGCGAAAGCCUGAAGCAGCCAGGCCGGGAGAAUGAUGAAGGUGUUAGGAUUGUAAAAUUCUUUCAGCGGGGACGAUAAUGACGGUACCCGCAGAAGAAGCUCCGGCUAACUUCGUG